rnacentral:rRNA from 1 species
AGCGAACGCUGGCGGCAGGCCUAACACAUGCAAGUCGAACGAAAUCUUCGGACUUUGUGGCGGUCGGGGGGGUAACACGUGGGAAGGUGCAUGUAGGUAACGAAUACUUCAGUGUAACUUGUGCUAAUGCAGAAGGUGCUCUUCGGGGGAAAGAUGUAUGGCCUUUGGAGCGGCGCGCGUCUGAUUCGCCUGUUGGGGAGGUAAAGGCACAUCAAGGCGUGGAUGAUUAGCUGGUCUGAGAGCAUGAUCAGCCACGUUUGGGCUGCGACACGGCCCAAACUCCUACGGAAGGGAGCAGUGGGGAAUCUAGCGCAAUGGGCGAAAGCCUGACGCAGCCAUGCCGGGUAAAUGAUGAAGGUCUUAGUAUUGUAAAAUUCUUUCAGCGGGGGCGAUAAUGACGGUACCCGGAGAAGAAGCCCCGGCUAACUUCGUG